CCCUUAGAUGUCCGGGGCCGCACGCGCGCUACACUGAAGGAAUCAGCGUGGCUUUCUCCCUGACCCGAAAGGGUUGGGAAACCCGUUGAAUCUCCUUCGUGAUAGGAUUGGGGCUUGAAAUUGUUCCCCAUGAACGAGGAAUUCCCAGUAAGCGCGAGUCAUAAGCUCGCGUUGAUUACGUCCCUGCCCUUUGUACACACCGCCCGUCGCUACUACCGAUUGAACGGUUUAGUGAGGGCCUCGGAUUGGUCUCGGCCCGCUCUUUACCGGGCGGCGCCGUUGGUCGAGAAGACGCUCGAACUUGAUCGUUUAGAGGAAGUAAAAGUCGUAACA
rnacentral:rRNA from 1 species